rnacentral:rRNA from 1 species
UACGUAGGGUCCGAGCGUUGUCCGGAAUUAUUGGGCGUAAAGGGCUCGUAGGCGGUUCGUCACGUCGGGAGUGAAAACUCGGAGCUUAACUCCGAGCCUGCUUCCGAUACGGGCAGACUAGAGGUAGGCAGGGGAGAGCGGAACUCCUGGUGUAGCGGUGGAAUGCGUAGAGAUCCGGAGGAACACCAGCGGCGAAGGCGGCAUCCUGGACUGGUCCUGACACUCAGGAGCGAAAGUGUGGGGAGCGAACAGG